UACAGAGGUCUCAAGCGUUGUUCGGAUUCAUUGGGCGUAAAGGGUGUGUAGGUGGCGCGCUAAGUCGGGUGUGAAAUUUCGGAGCUUAACUCCGAAACUGCAUCCGAUACUGGCGGGCUUGAAUCCGGGAGAGGGAUGUGGAAUUCCAGGUGUAGCGGUGAAAUGCGUAGAUAUCAAGAGGAACACCUGCGGCGAAGGCGGGUUGCUGGGCCGACACGUGACGCUGGAGGCGCGAAAGCUAGGGGAGCGAACGGG
rnacentral:rRNA from 1 species